CCCUCAGAUUUGGACAUGGCCAGAGAACCCAAGCUGAGCCGGGCCAGGCUGGGCCAGAAGAGGCAGCACAGCAGCACCAUGUACCACAGUAACUGCGAUCUGGACUACGACCUCUACCGGGACGACCUCCCGUACCGGGUUUACGAGUACCAGAAGAUCCCUCCCCUCAUUAACCGCCUGCCCGUCAAAGCCCGACGAACUCACCCUGGGGCAGGAGGCAAGAGAAGCCUGAG